AGCAAAGACGCUGUGUUUUUGAUGCUGUCGAGUGUAGCGUGGGCACACCGCUCUCUCUCUCCCUCCGUUUGUGGUUGAGCCACCGUACAGGAAAGCCCUGUCCAUCGGCGGCUGGCGUGGGGUCGGCUGCUGUUCUGGGAUGGUGUGCUGAGCUGGGCAAACUCAAGUGUCGCUGGUGAUGUGCUUCCACUUUGUGUCCUGUGUGGUUGACUGCUUGCAUGCCGCUUCGAGAGAACCAGAGGUAAUGCCGGCAUUUUCUGUAAGAGUCUCGACGCUUAGCUCUUGACUUGUGUAGGGAGUUGUGCAUUUCCACAAUACACAACUCCUGUUUAAUCGAUUUAUAAAUGCCGUGCCUAAUGGUA